UGGAUGAGAAAAUAACUGUCUCAAUUUAAUUUUUUUUGAAUUUUAUAUUUAAGUUAAAAAGCUUAAAUUAAAUUAAAAGACGAGAAGACCCUAUAGAGUUUAAUUUUAAAAUAAAAUUUUAAAUUAUUGUUUUUAUUUUUGAAAUUUAAUUUUAAAAUUUUGUUGGGGUGAUAGAAAAAUUUAAUUAACUUUUUUUAAAUAUUUACAUUAAUUAAUGAAUGAUUGAUCCAAAAAUUUUGAUUAAAAGAAUAAAUUACCUUAGGGAUAACAGCGUAAUUUUUUUUAAGAGUUCUUAUCGAAAAAAAAGAUUGCGACCUCGAUGUUGGAUUAAAAUUAAUUUUUGGUGUAGAAGCUAAAAAAUUAGGUCUGUUCGACCUUUAAAAUUUUACA
rnacentral:rRNA from 1 species